UGAAAACUGAACACGCCGGACGUGUUUUGUUGCUGUGCGUAGUUGCACCGUCGAGCAGAUGCACAAACUGCACUGCAAAGCAACAUGUAAAGAUCCGAGGUGGUGACGAGAGUAGCGAUGGUGGAGCAGGUGGAUCAGGUGAAGCAGUAGCAGCUUUACAUCAUCAUGACGAAAAGGUGAAAAGUCACCGAAGCCGUGGAGUGAUGACAAGAAACUAUCCCGUAAGGUGUCCCGUUCGAUCAGUCGAAGAAGAACUGCAGCAGCAAGUACCUGGUGAAGCUAGUGUCGUCGAAAUAGGACCGACCACCGGUAUGAUCUCAGGUGCAGAGUUCGAUCGCAAUCACUCGAUCGUUCGAAUGGCAAAAUCGGGCGCAUGUUUGAUGAGACACGCAAGCCAAGCAGAAGAAGUGCCGAUUGAGUGAUGAUUGGCCAGAUCGCAUCCACCGUGAUCCAUCGUGUGAUCAUCGCAAAAAACUCGAUGCGAUAGCCGGUAUGUUGUUUGAUUGGUGAUGAUCAACGCAAAGAUCCUAAUGCAGGAUACGUUCGAGGUGGAUGGAGCGAUCAAUAAAAGCUUCAAAUCAAUGGUGGGCAGCGCGUGUGGCAAGCCUCUUCGUCAUGUGGCGCGGUGUUCAGUUACUGUGAUUUUUAUGUGACUAAAAGUGACCAUUUGGUGAAAUCAGUGCAUCAUCCCUCAAGCCGCAAAGCAACAUACAUUUUUCGACGAAAAGGCAGUUCUACGAACGAGUAAAAUGGUGAUUCCUUUCCAGAUGACAAGGUAGACAGGUCAGAAAUAUAAUUAUCAAUCAACCCCUA